rnacentral:rRNA from 1 species
GACGAACGCUGGCGGCGUGCUUAACACAUGCAAGUCGAACGGAAAGGCCCUGCUUUUGUGGGGUGCUCGAGUGGCGAACGGGUGAGUAACACGAGAGUAACCUGCCCUUGACUUUGGGAUAACUUCAGGAAACUGGGGCUAAUACCGGAUAGGAGCUCCUGCUGCAUGGCGGGGGUUGGAAAGUUUCGGCGGUUGGGGAUGGACUCGCGGCUUAUCAGCUUGUUGGUGGGGUAGUGGCUUACCAAGGCUUUGACGGGUAGCCGGCCUGAGAGGGUGACCGGCCACAUUGGGACUGAGAUACGGCCCAGACUCCUACGGGAGGCAGCAGUGGGGAAUAUUGCACAAUGGGCGGAAGCCUGAUGCAGCAACGCCGCGUGCGGGAUGACGGCCUUCGGGUUGUAAACCGCUUUCGCCUGUGACGAAGCGUGAGUGACGGUAAUGGGUAAAGAAGCACCGGCUAACUACGUG